rnacentral:rRNA from 1 species
CACGUAGGGCGCAAGCGUGUCCGGAAUUAUUGGGCGUAAAGAGCUCGUAGGCGGUCUGUUACGUCUGCUGUGAAAACCCGGGGCUUAACCCUGGGCUUGCAGUGGAUACGGGCAGACUAGAGUUCGGUAGGGGAGACUGGAAUUCCUGGUGUAGCGGUGAAAUGCGCAGAUAUCAGGAGGAACACCGGUGGCGAAGGCGGGUCUCUGGGCCGGUACUGACGCUGAGACGCGAAAGCGUGGGGAGCGAACAGG